rnacentral:rRNA from 1 species
UACGUAGGGUGCGAGCGUUGUCCGGAAUUACUGGGCGUAAAGAGCUCGUAGGCGGUUUGUCGCGUCGACUGUGAAAACCCGAGGCUUAACCUCGGGCCUGCAGUCGAUACGGGCAGACUAGAGUUCGGUAGGGGAGACUGGAAUUCCUGGUGUAGCGGUGAAAUGCGCAGAUAUCAGGAGGAACACCGGUGGCGAAGGCGGGUCUCUGGGCCGAUACUGACGCUGAGGAGCGAAAGCGUGGGGAGCGAACAGG